AACGAACGCUGGCGGCAGGCCUAACACAUGCAAGUCGAGCGCCCUUUCGGGGGAGCGGCGGACGGGUGAGUAACGCGUGGGAAUAUGCCCUUCUCUACGGCAUAGCCUCGGGAAACUGAGAGUAAUACCGUAUACGCCCUAUGGGGGAAAGAUUUAUCGGGGAAGGAUUAGCCCGCGUUGGAUUAGGUAGUUGGUGGGGUAAUGGCCUACCAAGCCGACGAUCCAUAGCUGGUUUGAGAGGAUGAGCAGCCACACUGGGACUGAGACACGGCCCAGACUCCUACGGGAGGCAGCAGAGGGGAAUCUUAGAAAAUGGGGGCAACCCAGAUCUAGCCAUGCCGCGUGAGUGAUGAAGGCCUUAGGGUUGUAAAGCUCUUUCAGCUGGGAAGAUAAUGACGGUACCAGCAGAAGAAGCCCCGGCUAACUCCGUG
rnacentral:rRNA from 1 species